rnacentral:tRNA from 1 species
AGGGAUGUAGCACAGCUUGGUAGCAUAUUUUUUUGGGUACAAAAUGUUGCAGGUUCAAAUCCUGUCAUCCCUA